CAGCCGCCGCGGAAAUACGUAGGGUGCAAGCGUUAAUCGGAAUUACUGGGCGUAAAGCGUGCGCAGGCGGUUAUAUAAGACAGAUGUGAAAUCCCCGGGCUCAACCUGGGAACUGCAUUUGUGACUGUAUAGCUAGAGUACGGCAGAGGGGGAUGGAAUUCCGCGUGUAGCAGUGAAAUGCGUAGAUAUGCGGAGGAACACCGAUGGCGAAGGCAAUCCCCUGGGCCUGUACUGACGCUCAUGCACGAAAGCGUGGGGAGCAAACAGGAUUAGAGACCCCCGUAGUCCCUGUCUCUUAUAC
rnacentral:rRNA from 1 species